UGUAUGCAACAUAGUAUAUUUAUUAAACCCUUUUAUUGCCAGAGGUGUGCCUAAUGCAUUGCAAAGUAAUACACUGGAUACACACCUAUGACCUGCAAAGAUUUUUUUAAACAAUUACAAUUUUAAUAACCCAUAUUGCUUCUUUGAGGACGUGGAACAAAUCAUUCAGAACACUGUAUAAAGUUCUAAUGUGUUUGUCACUGAUGGAUACAACCAAUGUUACAGUAUAGAGAUAUUUGCUAUUCGUGGUCUUGAAAUAAUGAUCUUCCAUUCAAGGAAAUUCAAGGUGAAAAUCGGCACAACAGUCUUCAAUAACAAAAUGAGAGAACAAAAAACAAAAUGUGCAAAAAAAAAAAUCUCUCUCUGGUACAUUUGCCCCAAUCAUUUCAUUAACAUUGUUUAUUUUAACAAAACAAUUGCUAACAGAGAAACUACUUCCUUGUUCUUGUAAUACAAAGCAAGGGCAGUUUCGUUCCCCAAAGCUCUGCAAAGUGCAAAUUUUAAUGUUUUGAUGAUUCUUCCACUUUUAAGGCAAAAAAAAAUAAAAUGAAAAUAUU